rnacentral:rRNA from 1 species
AGCGUCAGCGGCGCUGGCUCGGCCGAGCGAGCGAUGUUGCGGACUACGGAUCGCGACACGUCAUCGCUCAUGCCUUGUCCGGUGUCGUCGUCGUGCACUUCUUCUCUAGUAGAACGUCGCGACCCGUUGGGUGCCGGUCUACGGUCCGAGCGGUAGACUGUCGCGUCGCUUCGGCGCACGCGUCAGACCCUCGGUCGCCCGGCCGGCUGCCCGGCGGUCGAACUUAUAAGGUAUCUUGCCGCAAUUAUCGAACUGCGUCGGGCCCGCCGCAAGCGCGGUCAGUGUCUC